ACCAGUGAGUUCGUCUUUAAGUUCUGAACAAGUCUCCUGAAGGAAUCGAAGCGAAAGGAGGACAUUUUUACGUUGAUCGGAGCUUCGCCGGCUUCUGCAAAUUCUCGCCGGUUUUUGGAAAAAUUCCGGCCACCUCGACUGUUUUAGGUGAUUGACGGUCUUCCUUGGGUGAGCGAUUUCGGUGUGUAUUGUGUUGAAUUGAAGACGCAGCGGGAAUAUCGAGCGGGUAAUCCUACAGGUCAGGUGAAUCGGGAAGGUGAUCGAGCUGCUUAGAGAAAUUGCAUUGGGUAAAUCUGGAUUUAUAUUGUGAGGUUUAUUAUGCUCUUUUGAGUAUUGUAAAUUAAGUUGUGAGAGUGUGAUGUAAUAAGUAAAUUGAAGAUUGGUUUUUGUAAUAUUGAGAGGUGUGAAG